UCUCGAAUAGACCUAGCCUCAUCUGCUGUGUUCGCGAGAAACGAUCCAUUCAGUGGGCUCAUACGCACACCCAAUUUAAAUUUAUGAAUGUCAAACAUCACAACCGACAAAAGCAUUGAAUACGCGUUCUUUUGAAAAUAUUCUCAAUAGAUAUCGUAAGCCGAACAACACUGCCACUUGCUGGUGCUAUCGCCUUGGUUUCGUUCGAGUAUUCGUUGGAUAGAUAACACGCCAACGCAAAGAGGUCCAUCGUCGCCGUCGACGUCCAUGUCCAACGACAUCAGCGCUGGAAAUCUCUGGAAUCAUUCAUCGGCAGCCAAGCGCGAGGGACAUAAACACGACCGCCGAACAAGUGCUCCUGUCCCAUCCUUGGAACGAUGGGCUUUCAAAAGAUCGUUUACCACAUCGCAGGCAUCGGAAAUCGAACCAUCAUGGGGCGACAAUAUUUGGCAUGAACUAGUAGUAGUGUAGUCCAUCACUGUUGAAACAUCGUUACAGCUCAGACGUAAUACUUCUUAGUUAGGAUUGGUGCAUAAUAUAAACGAUUAAUUUGAAUUAGAGUAAGGUGGGACAAAAGUUCGACCUUAGUGG